rnacentral:lncRNA from 1 species
UUUCCGAAAUAUUAUUCCAUUCAUAAUGUAUAUACUGAAUGCAUAUAGACAAACUUAUCAAUAAUGUGUUCAUAUAUAUAUUUGUAAAAUAACAAAAGAAAGGAUUAACAUUCCAUUUGUACUGUAUCAUUUACACACCCUUUGGGAAGAAAACAAAUUAACAUCAUUUGCAAAUAAAAUAAAUUGUUGUCUAUAGUUCUGGGCAAAUAAUAAUUAGCUUGUCAACUUGAAUUCUCCAAAAUCUACAUCUUCACUUGUAAACUGAAGUCUUCAAGACCUAUGACAAGUAUGAAAUGAAUUCACUUCAGAAAAACUAUAAUAAUCAACCAGAAAGUUUGAGUAACUAAUUGCGAGACCUACAUUAUUUCAUAAACUAAUUACAAUAUAACAAUACUUUGGUCAUAUAAGAAACUUGCAUUAUGAAAUAAAACACAAAAUAGCCAUCUCGGCAACUAAAACACUGUAAGAGACUCAAAAAGUGCAUUUGUUUUAUCAAUGACAAGGAGAACUACAUCUUAUUAUAUACAAAUAGGUUCCAUAGGCUUAGAGGGAGACAAACAGAUAAUUAUUUACCAUAUUACACCUCAAGUUGUAAGUGCCACGCAACCUAAGAAACAAAGAUUAAGUUCAACAUUAGCAUUAAUGAGAAUCAUCCAAAGUCCAUAAUAUAGCGUUAAUGAGAAUCAGCCCUCAUUAUUUAAUACAUAUAAAGAUAGGAUGCAAAUUAUAAGAUCGAAUAACAUUAUGUUAUAUAAACUACUAACAAACAAAUUGCACUUUUAAAGUACAUCUUCCUUUAGAGAAUAUCUGGCACAUAAAUGUUUAAGAAAAAAAUCAAAAUCAGUGCCUUAUAACUUUUCCCAUUAUCAUAAUCAGAUUUUGGGUUCUGCUAUAAACAAGAAAUUGUGAGGGGUUUAUGUUCUUAUCAGUUCAAUGUAGAAAAUUUCCGGAUCACGUAACACAGAUCAGGGUAAAUCUACUGAUGCAAAAAUAAAAAAUAAACUAUUGACAAUGAUCCUAUACUUGAACCUAAAACUUGUUGUCCUUGCAAUUAGCCUUUAACUUGUGAGAAAAUAUUUAGCAAUUCCUUAAUGAUCAAUGCACACACACAUAGAUAUUUUUUUUGUAAAAGAAACAUAAUUUUUACAAGAAUUUGUGAAAGAAAUUUCUGGACCUGCUGUCUAACUCUCUCAAGUUUCAGCUCAAGUUGUGCUAACUUCAAAUGGCAUUGUUUUCAACUACUGAACUUACUCCUAGAAAGAGAAGGGAAGAGAAUCAAGAAAAGGAAUUUAUCUUCCAUAUAAUUGAAUUUUAAAAAGCAAAAUUUCUUGUACCUUUUUCCGCAUACGGCUUUCACACAGUGAGCUUUGAUAUUGCUGCUAAACACAAAAGUGAGAGAUAAAGAGGAAAUGGCUUUGGGUAUGCACGCCUUGUCGGGAAUACUCUAUUUGUUGAUAAUCCCAUAUCAGAGGGUAUAAAUUGUUCAUAAAAGUAAAAAGAGUACAUAACCAGAUGAGUGUUUGAGAUAUACUACAUGAAACGUUGCAGUGUUACAACAAAAAUAAAAUCAUAUUUGAGAACCUAAGAAAUGUAUCCCAAAUUGUUAUAAAAUUAUAUCAUGAAGAUACAUGCGAACUUCAGAGUGACGUCUGACACGGAGAUGCAGAGAAUAGAAGACUAAAGUUUCAACUAAAUGGUUAUAACAUGAUAUAGAGUGUAAGGUUGAGUUUCAGUCCAAAAGUAAAUUGUACCUGCAUGAGUAGCAAAAACAAACUGAGAACCAGCAACGAAAUCAAUAAAAGUGGAUAAAAGAGAAUAAGGAAAAAUUAAAAAUUGAUUCAGAUUGUUAGAAGAAAGUCUAUCAUUUCAAGAGUGCAACAUCCCUCACAAAUGAACCUCCACCUUCAUCAAUAGAUAACCUUAACAACCGUUGCACCAAGAUCAAAUAUCUUCAUAAAAUCUUAUAGAACUACAAGUACAACACUGAUUCACUUAUUCAAGCAACCUCCUUGUGGAGAAACCAGAAACACAUCUCCUUCAAGGUGUUCAACUUUAAUACCACGUUUCCCUAACAUUUCAAUAUUUUCUUUAAAACAUGUCUUAGAACCAUACAACAACAUAUUUAAAAUUACCAAUUUCAAUCUAUCAUUUUCACAAAGGCUUUGCGCGGAUGAAUCUUUACUUUUUUCUGUAACUUCAAUCCAUCUACUAGAGCACUAGCAGCAAACAGUUUUUUCACCAGUUGAAAUAGCCAUUGUCUAAUAAAUUCACAAGUUUAAUUUCUUUUAGCAAACAUAACUAUCACUCGUAUUUAAAAGAAGCUACAUGAACCUGAUAAUCACCGUAGACUAGCAAGCUCAGUUUAGCACCUCACCUAAUGUCAAUUGGUAACAAAGUACAAUAAUCAUGUUAAUUAAAGCUUCCUUUUAGUACGUAAAGGAGUGUUUAGUAGCAAUAUUUGACAUGGGUAUAAUAAUAUUAAGAAGCUCACUAUAAAAUAAACACCCAAUUUUAGCAAAAAUGUGGAUAACAUGUAUCCAUCAACAAAAUGAAGAGCAACAAUGAAAAUACAUACCAAAAAUCACUCAUUGCCCCCAUAAAUGAAAUGAAUCAAAACCCACAAGCAUUAACAACAAAAUCCAGCAAGUCUAAAAUAGUGAGUGGAAGAAAGGAACUCUAACCGAUGAUUGGAACACUUCAUCUCUUAAGCAAGUCGUAAAGAUAAUCAAAUCUUGCAUUCAAGAAACAAAAUUGUCAGCACACACAUAUACAAGCAUAGCUGAAGCAGAUAAAGAGAAUAGAAUUAUGGGAAUCNAAACUUACGAAUUUCAAGCUAAUACUCCUGGAAGCACCUCGGACCACAAUGAAACAACUCCUUCCCAUCUCACUGCGGAAGCUGAAAUGAAUAACACGUGAGCUCUUCUUCACAAAACGGCUCAGAGAUAUGGCCUCGCCAUAAAAAUAACUUGUUGAAUCACAAUAUGCCAACUCAAUCGCACAGAUCCGACUUCAGUUGGUGAUGGAAAAAAUUAUCCAAAAUAACUUAGCAAAAUUGAAUAAUCUGUAGAAUAGUCGUGAACAGAUUGAUGAUGGAAAUCGUCAUUUUGAACAAUAAAAUCAAGAACAGAUUUAGAUGAAAUACUAGAACUGAUUGUCAAAGUGAUGAGGGUUUGGGGAUUUUGAGAGAAACGUUGAGAGACGGGGAGUAAACCCUAGUUCCUAAAUGACGACUUGGGGAAUGUUUUUAAGUGUUUCUAUUUCUUUAUUUCUUUUUCUAGGUUUCUAUCUCUUUAUAAUUAUAAAAAUAUUAAAAUUUUAGAAGAAAAUUUUGGGCGGCACCUCAAGUCUCGC